CCUACGGGAGGCUGCAGUGAGGAAUAUUGGUCAAUGGGCGGGAGCCUGAACCAGCCAAGUCGCGUGAGGGAAGACGGUCCUAUGGAUUGUAAACCUCUUUAGGCGGGGAGCAAUGCCGGGCACGUGUGCCCGGAGGGAGAGUACCCGCAGAAUAAGCAUCGGCUAACUCCGUGCCAGCAGCCGCGGUAAUACGGAGGAUGCGAGCGUUAUCCGGAUUUAUGGGGUUUAAAGGGUGCGUAGGCGGAUUUUUAAGUCAGCGGUAAAAUGUCCGGGCUCAACCCGGGCCGGCCGUUGAAACUGGGGAUCUUGAGUGGGCGAGAAGUAUGCGGAAUGCGUGGUGUAGCGGUGAAAUGCAUAGAUAUCACGCAGAACUCCGAUUGCGAAGGCAGCAUACCGGCGCCAGACUGACGCUGAGGCACGAAAGCGUGGGGAUCGAACAGGAUUAGAUACCCGAGUAGUC
rnacentral:rRNA from 1 species